CAGAUGCAUAGAACGGGAGCAUAAAAUGACCACUCUUAAGCCUGUUUAUUGAUUACAAACCUGUUAGGAUCACAACCACAAUGGUAAAAGAAGGAAUUGUUCUUUAGCAAUCAGUUUGCUUUACUUGAUUGAUUUUUGGAAUAAAAUAAGAGAGACAUUUUCCCAGUAGAAGACUUGAUUGGUUUUGUUUUGCUUUAUUGUUGGGCUAGUUGGCACUACUAACUUCUACCAACCUACAACUUAUCCAAAUCUGCUCAUAUGGCUGCCCUCUGCAGCUGAGGUAUGACCUUAAGAAACGUAUGCAUUUGGUUUACACCAUUAUACAGGUGCUCUGUAUCACUUUCUGUUCUUCAGAUUGAGUUCUCUGCCAGAGAAGCCACUGAUCAUAGGAAGGAAUAGAACCAAACUUCAGAAGGGCCCUUCAAUGGCCAGGCUUACCAUUUUCAAACCUUCACAGAAAGAUGGUGAAUUUGAAUGAUCGGCACUUGCUGAAGGUGGAGUUGGGGGAACACCACUGCAAACACCGAAGGUGGCCAAGAUACAACCAAGGAUAGCAGGAGCUGCAUACACUCCAAUC